rnacentral:rRNA from 1 species
GGGCAGCACAGGAGUAGCAAUUCUUUGGUGGCGACCGGCGCACGGGUGGGUAACGCGUAUCCAACCUUCCCGUUACUUAGGGAUAGCCUUCCGAAAGGGAGAUUAAUUCGAGAUGGUAUUUUUCUUUCGCAUGUUUUUUAAAUUAAAGAUUUAUCGGUAAAGGAAGGGGAUGCGUUACAUUAGGUAGUUGGCGGGGUAACGGCCCACCAAGCCCACGAUGUUUAGGGGUUUUGAGAGGAAGGUCCCCCACCCUGGAAAUGAGACACGGUCCAGACUCCUACGGGAGGCAGCAGUGAGGAAUAUUGGUCAAUGGGCGGAAGCUGAACCAGCCAAGUAGCGUGAAGGAUGAAGGUUCUAUGGGUUGUAAACUUUUUUUAUAAGGGAAUAAAACCUCCCACGUGUUGGAGUAUGUAUGUUCCGUAUGAAUAAGCAUCGGCUAACUCCGUGCCAGCAGCCGCGGUAAUACGGAGGAUGCGAGCGUUAUCCGGAUUUAUUGGGGUUAAAGGGAGCGUAGGCGGGAUAUUAAGUCAGUUGGAAAAGCUGGGGGUCAACCCCCACCCCGCAGUUGAUACUGGUAUCCUUGAGUGCG